AGGGGUAUAGCUCAGUUGGUAGAGCGUCGGUCUCCAAAACCGAAUGUCGUGAGUUCGAAUCUUACUGCCCCUGCCA
rnacentral:tRNA from 1 species